rnacentral:rRNA from 1 species
GAUUAGAGUUUGAUCCUGGUUCAUGAAGAACGCUAGCUACAGGCUUAACACAUGCAAGUCGAGGGGCAGCAGAUCGAAAGCUUGCUUUUGAUGCUGGCGACCGGCGCACGGGUGAGUAACGCGUAUCCAACCUUCCCUAUAGCAGAGAAUAGCCCGGCGAAAGUCGGAUUAAUGCUCUAUGUUGUAUUUAGAGGACAUCUGAAGAAUACCAAAGGUUUACCGCUAUAGGAUGGGGAUGCGUCUGAUUAGGUAGUAGGCGGGGUAACGGCCCACCUAGCCGACGAUCAGUAGGGGUUCUGAGAGGAAGGUCCCCCACAUUGGAACUGAGACACGGUCCAAACUCCUACGGGAGGCAGCAGUGAGGAAUAUUGGUCAAUGGACGGAAGUCUGAACCAGCCAAGUAGCGUGCAUGAUGACCGCCCUAUGGGUUGUAAACUGCUUUUAUAUAGGGAUAAAGUCGGGGACGUGUCCCCC